AUUGAACGCUGGCGGCAGGCCUAACACAUGCAAGUCGAGCGGAUGAAGGGAGCUUGCUCCUGGAUUCAGCGGCGGACGGGUGAGUAAUGCCUAGGAAUCUGCCUGGUAGUGGGGGAUAACGUCCGGAAACGGGCGCUAAUACCGCAUACGUCCUGAGGGAGAAAGUGGGGGAUCUUCGGACCUCACGCUAUCAGAUGAGCCUAGGUCGGAUUAGCUAGUUGGUGGGGUAAAGGCCUACCAAGGCGACGAUCCGUAACUGGUCUGAGAGGAUGAUCAGUCACACUGGAACUGAGACACGGUCCAGACUCCUACGGGAGGCAGCAGUGGGGAAUAUGGGACAAUGGGCGAAAGCCUGAUCCAGCCAUGCCGCGUGUGUGAAGAAGGUCUUCGGAUUGUAAAGCACUUUAAGUUGGGAGGAAGGGCAGUAAGUUAAUACCUUGCUGUUUUGGCUUUACCAACAGAAUAAGCACCGGCUAACUUCGU
rnacentral:rRNA from 1 species